rnacentral:rRNA from 1 species
UACGUAGGGCGCAAGCGUUGUCCGGAAUCAUUGGGCGUAAAGGGCGCGUAGGUGGCGGGACAAGCGUGCGGUGAAAGCUCGGGGCUCAACCCCGAGUCGGCCGUGCGAACUGUCUUGCUUGAGCACUGUAGAGGCAGGCGGAAUUCCGGGUGUAGCGGUGGAAUGCGUAGAGAUCCGGAAGAACACCGGUGGCGAAGGCGGCCUGCUGGGCAGUUGCUGACACUGAGGCGCGAAGGCGUGGGGAGCGAACAGG